rnacentral:tRNA from 1 species
UUCCUGGUAGCCUAGUGGCUAAGGAUUCCACAUUGUCAUUGCUGUGGCUCAGGUUCAAUCCCUGGCCAGGGAA